UACGUAGGGGGCUAGCGUUAUCCGGAAUUACUGGGCGUAAAGGGUGCGUAGGCGGUCUUUCAAGCCAGAAGUGAAAGGCUACGGCUCAACCGUAGUAAGCUUUUGGAACUGUAAGACUUGAGUGCAGGAGAGGAGAGUGGAAUUCCUAGUGUAGCGGUGAAAUGCGUAGAUAUUAGGAGCAACACCAGUAGCGAAGGCGGCUCUCUGGACUGUAACUGACGCUGAGGCACGAAAGCGUGGGGAGCAAACAGGAUUAGAUACCCUGGUAGUCCACGCCGUAAACGAUGAGUACUAGGUGUCGGGGGUUACCCCCCUCGGUGCCGCAGCUAACGCAUUAAGUACUCCGCCUGGGAAGUACGCUUGCAAGAGUGAA
rnacentral:rRNA from 1 species